rnacentral:piRNA from 1 species
UAAGAUAUGAGCCCAAUACAGUGUAGC